CUACGUGCCAGCAGCCGCGGUAAUACGGAAGGUCCGGGCGUUAUCCGGAUUUAUUGGGUUUAAAGGGAGCGUAGGCUGGAGAUUAAGUGUGUUGUGAAAUGUAGACGCUCAACGUCUGACUUGCAGCGCAUACUGGUUUCCUUGAGUACGCACAACGUUGGCGGAAUUCGUCGUGUAGCGGUGAAAUGCUUAGAUAUGACGAAGAACUCCGAUUGCGAAGGCAGCUGACGGGAGCGCAACUGACGCUUAAGCUCGAAGGUGCGGGUAUCGAACAGGAUUAGAUACCCUGGUAGUCCGCACAGUAAACGAUGGAUGCUCGCUGUUGGUACCUGGUAUCAGCGGCUAAGCGAAAGCAUUAAGCAUCCCACCUGGGGAGUACGCCGGCAACGGUGAAACUCAAAGGAAUUGACGGGGGCCCGCACAAGCGGAGGAACAUGUGGUUUAAUUCGAUGAUACGCGAGGAACCUUACCCGGGCUUGAAUUGCAGAGGAAUUAUUUA
rnacentral:rRNA from 1 species